rnacentral:rRNA from 1 species
AGUGAACGCUGGCGGUAGGCCUAACACAUGCAAGUCGAACGGCAGCACAGGAGAGCUUGCUCUCUGGGUGGCGAGUGGCGGACGGGUGAGGAAUACAUCGGAAUCUACUUUUUCGUGGGGGAUAACGUAGGGAAACUUACGCUAAUACCGCAUACGACCUACGGGUGAAAGCAGGGGACCUUCGGGCCUUGCGCGAUUGAAUGAGCCGAUGUCGGAUUAGCUAGUUGGCGGGGUAAAGGCCCACCAAGGCGACGAUCCGUAGCUGGUCUGAGAGGAUGAUCAGCCACACUGGAACUGAGACACGGUCCAGAGUCAUACGGGAGGCAGCAGUGGGGAAUAUUGGACAAUGGGCGCAAGCCUGAUCCAGCCAUACCGCGUGGGUGAAGAGGGCCUUCGGGUUGUAAAGCCCUUUUGUUGGGAAAGAAAUCCAGCUGGCUAAUACCCGGUUGGGAUGACGGUACCCAAAGAAUAAGCACCGGCUAACUUCGUGCCAGCCGCCGCCGUAA